UAUUCUGAUGAACAAUUGAACGUUUAUAUACGCUGGAAAUUACCGACCAAGCCCUUCGGGGUGGUGCCGAUAUCAAAUGGCUAUUUCUGAGU
rfam:Aureobasidium pullulans var. melanogenum CBS 110374 unplaced genomic scaffold scaffold_23, whole genome shotgun sequence.